rnacentral:rRNA from 1 species
UACAGAGGUCCCAAGCGUUGUUCGGAUUCACUGGGCGUAAAGGGUGCGUAGGUGGCGAGGUAAGUCGGAUGUGAAAUCUCCAAGCUCAACUUGGAAAUGGCAUUGGAAACUACCUUGCUUGAGGGUCGGAGGGGGAGCUGGAAUUCGUCGGUGUAGCAGUGAAAUGCGUAGAUAUCGAGAGGAACACCAGUGGCGAAGGCGAGUCCCUGGACGACUCCCGACACUGAGGCACGAAAGCUAGGGGAGCAAACAGG